rnacentral:rRNA from 1 species
GACGAACGCUGGCGGCGUGCCUAAUACAUGCAAGUCGAGCGAGACUCUUCGGAGUCUAGCGGCGGACGGGUGAGUAACACGUGGGCAACCUGCCUGUAAGACUGGGAUAACACCGGGAAACCGGUGCUAGUACCGGAUAAUCCUUUUUCUCUCAUGAGGGAAAGCUGAAAGUCGGUUUCGGCUGACACUUACAGAUGGGCCCGCGGCGCAUUAGCUAGUUGGUGAGGUAACGGCUCACCAAGGCGACGAUGCGUAGCCGACCUGAGAGGGUGAUCGGCCACACUGGGACUGAGACACGGCCCAGACUCCAACGGGAGGCAGCAGUAGGGAAUCUUCCACAAUGGACGAAAGUCUGAUGGAGCAACGCCGCGUGAGCGAUGAAGGCCUUCGGGUCGUAAAGCUCUGUUGUUAGGGAAGAACAAGUACCGGAGUAACUGCCGGUACCUUGACGGUACCUGACCAGAAAGCCACGGCUAACUACGUGCCAGCCGCCGCCGUAA